rnacentral:rRNA from 1 species
UACAGAGGGUGCGAGCGUUAAUCGGAAUUACUGGGCGUAAAGGGCGCGUAGGCGGUUGGAUGAGUGUGAUGUGAAAGCCCCGGGCUUAACCUGGGAAGUGCAUCGCAAACGAUCUAACUGGAGUAGAUGAGAGGGUGGCGGAAUUUCCGGUGUAGCGGUGAAAUGCGUAGAGAUCGGAAGGAACGUCAAUGGCGAAGGCAGCCACCUGGCAUCAUACUGACGCUGGAGGCGCGAAAGCGUGGGGAGCGAACAGG